rnacentral:misc_RNA from 1 species
GCAAACUUGGUCAUUUAGAGGAAGUAAAAGUCGUAACAAGGUUUCCGUAGGUGAACCUGCGGAAGGAUCAUUAACGAGUUUUGAAACGGGUUGUAGCUGGCCUUCCGAGGCAUGUGCACGCCCUGCUCAUCCACUCUUACCCCUGUGCACUUACUGUAGGCUUCAGGCGCGCUGCGGCUUUCAACGCCGUGACGUUACUGGGUCUACGUUUUACUACCAACUACAAAGUAUCAGAAUGUGUAUUGCGAUGUAACGCAUCUAUAUACAACUUUCAGCAACGGAUCUCUUGGCUCUCGCAUCGAUGAAGAACGCAGC